AACGAACGCUGGCGGCAUGCCUAACACAUGCAAGUCGAACGAGACCUUCGGGUCUAGUGGCGCACGGGUGCGUAACGCGUGGGAACCUGCCCUUAGGUUCGGAAUAACUCCCCGAAAGGGGUGCUAAUACCGGGUAAUGUCUUCGGACCAAAGAUUUAUCGCCUUUGGAUGGGCCCGCGUUGGGUUAGCUAGUUGGUAGGGUAAAAGCCUACCAAGGCGACGAUCCAUAGCUGGUCUGAGAGGAUGAUCAGCCACACUGGGACUGAGACACGGCCCAGACUCCUACGGGAAGCAGCAGUGGGGAAUAUUGGACAAUGGGCGAGAGCCUGAUCCAGCAAGGCCGCGUGAGUGAUGAAGGCCUUAGGGUUGUAAAGCUCUUUUACCCGGGAUGAUAAUGACAGUACCGGGAGAAUAAGCACCGGCUAACUCCGUG
rnacentral:rRNA from 1 species